rnacentral:rRNA from 1 species
AACGAACGCUGGCGGCAUGGAUUAGGCAUGCAAGUCGAACGAAGUAGCAAUACUUAGUGGCGGAAGGGUGAGGAACGCGUGAGUAACUUGCCUCCAAGUUGGGAAUAACAGUUGGAAACGGCUGCUAAUACCUGAUGUGGUUAUCUUUUCGCAUGAGAGGGUAACUAAAGAUUUAUCGCUUGGAGAUAGGCUCGCGUCCCAUUAGCUAGUUGGUGAGGUAACGGCUCACCAAGGCGACGAUGGGUAGCUGGUCUGAGAGGAUGGUCAGCCACACUGGGACUGAGACACUGCCCAG